UUAAUAUUCCUGUACUUGGUGUUACUGCGAAGGGGGGACGGAGAAGGCUAUGUUGGCCGGGCGACGGUUGUCCCGGUUUAAGCGUGUAGGCUGGUUUUCCAGGCAAAUCCGGAAAAUCAAGGCUGAGACGUGAUGACGAGGCACUACGGUGCUGAAGUAACAAAUGCCCUGCUUCCAGGAAAAGCCUCUAAGCAUCAGGUAACAUCAAAUCGUACCCCAAACCGACACAGGUGGUCAGGUAGAGAAUACCAAGGCGCUUGAGAGAACUCGGGUGAAGGAACUAGG
rnacentral:rRNA from 1 species